rnacentral:tRNA from 1 species
GGGUGAUUAGCUCAGCUGGGAGAGCACCUCCCUUACAAGGAGGGGGUCGGCGGUUCGGGUAGAGCAGUUGACUUUUA